UACGGACGGUCCGGGCGUUAUCCGGAUUUAUUGGGUUUAAAGGGAGCGCAGGCGGACCAGCCAAGCGUGCCGUGAAAGCGCGGGGCUCAACCCCGUACAGCGGCGCGAACUGGCGGUCUUGGUUGCGGGAAGGGAAGGCGGAACUCGUGGUGUAGCGGUGAAAUGCAUAGAUAUCACGAAGAACUCCGAUCGCGAAGGCAGCCUUCCGGCCCGCUAACGACGCUCAUGCUCGAAGGCGCGGGUAU
rnacentral:rRNA from 1 species